CCUCAGCUGCCCUAGCCAGCAGCCCCCUCAGCUACACUACAGAAGCUCCCUGUGCCCAUGGGGCCUUCUCACCGUGUCCGAGCCCCUCGGCCCCGGGGCUUAAGAUCCCCCUAUCACAGGCCAGGUAUGGGCUGGCCUCGGCCCCGGUUUCCCAAGAUGUUUAAGUGUAGCCGCAGAAGGUACCGGCAGAAACCCCAAGGCCCAGCUGCCACCACUGCAGCCCCCAAUCUUGGCACCCUGGCCACGGGUAUCAACAACACCCACACUGCCACCACCAGCGUGUGGAUUCUUCCACCACAAGUUCUCAGACACCUCUGUCAACCUGGCAGCUUCCUGAUCCUCUAGAAAUGCCCAGAAGCUAGUCCAGAAGCUUGGCUGGCUCCGGACCUGCAUCUCCUGGGGGCCAUAGGUGGUGAACAGCAGACAAAUACAAUCAUUUCUGCUCCAA